rnacentral:rRNA from 1 species
CCUACGGGAGGCAGCAGUGGGGAAUAUUGCACAAUGGGGGAAACCCUGAUGCAGCGACGCCGCGUGAGUGAAGAAGUAAUUCGUUACGUAAAGCUCUAUCAGCAGGGAAGUAACACUGACCUUACGGUCAGCAGACGGUACCUGAGUAAGAAGCGCCGGCUAACUACGUGCCAGCAGCCGCGGUAAUACGGAGGGGGCAAGCGUUAUCCGGAUUUACUGGGUGUAAAGGGGGCGUAGACGGUGCGCCAAGUCUGGAGUGAAAUGCCGCAGCUUAACUGCGGAACUGCUUUGGAAACUGGCGAACUAGAGUGCGGGAGGGGUAAGCGGAAUUCCUAGUGUAGCGGUGAAAUGCGUAGAUAUUAGGAGGAACACCGGUGGCGAAGGCGGCUUACUGGACCGUAACUGACGUUGAGGCUCGAAAGCGUGGGGAGCAAACAGGAUUAGAUACCCUAGUAGUC